rnacentral:rRNA from 1 species
CUACGGGUUGCACCAGCAGGGAAUAUUGCACAAUGGACGGAAGUCUGAUGCAGCGACGCCGCGUGGAUGAUGAAGGCCUUCGGGUUGUAAAAUCCUUUUCAGGGAGAAGAGGAAGGACGGUAUCCCUGGAAUAAGCGUCGGCUAACUACGUGCCAGCAGCCGCGGUAAUACGUAGGACGCAAGCGUUAUCCGGAUUUACUGGGCGUAAAGCGUCUGUAGGCGGUUUAGUAAGGUUGAUGUGAAAGCUCCAGGCUCAACUUGGAGAGUGCAUUGAAUACUGCUAGACUUGAGGGGAUCAGAGGAAAGCGGAAUUUCCGGUGUAGCGGUAAAAUGCGCAGAUAUCGGAAAGAACACCAGUGGCGAAGGCGGCUUUCUGGGAUCAACCUGACGCUGAGAGACGAAAGCUAGGGUAGCGAACAGGAUUAGAUACCCGUGUAGUC